rnacentral:rRNA from 1 species
UACGAAGGGGGCUAGCGUUGCUCGGAAUCACUGGGCGUAAAGCGCACGUAGGCGGACUCUUAAGUCGGUGGUGAAAUCCUGGAGCUCAACUCCAGAACUGCCUUCGAUACUGAGAGUCUUGAGUCCGGGAGAGGUGAGUGGAACUGCGAGUGUAGAGGUGAAAUUCGUAGAUAUUCGCAAGAACACCAGUGGCGAAGGCGGCUCACUGGCCCGGUACUGACGCUGAGGUGCGAAAGCGUGGGGGAGCAAACAGGAUUAGAAACCCCCA